GAUUUUUAUACGCUUACCUUAUGUAAAAAUAUUGUUACAUUAUUUAUAUACUCCUUACACAGAUAUUAUAAUUAUCUAAUAUAAAAAUGUGAAAGUAUACCAAACGAUCAUCUGUUCAAUUAAUUAGAAGAAGCAACUAGGAAUAUGGUAUCAAGAACUACUAUGUUUAAUACAUAAGUAUCAAAGAGCACAUAUAUUUUGUGAUCAGAAGAGUAAAAGAAUUUUUAAUCUGUACUAUUACACAUCCUAUACAAAAAAUGCAAUAGUAGUGCAAUUAUUUCUUUAUACAAAACAUUGGAAGUACUUAAUGCAUAGUGUGCAUAAAUUUAAAGCUGUUGAGAAUAUAAAUUCUUCCAAAACGUGGUUACUUGUUAAGUUUUAGAUACAUACAUUGAAAGUCAGUUAACCAUGACUGAUAUCACCACUCAAGAUCUACAGCAAUUAGUUAUCUACUUCUCUAAGAAUACUUAUAAGGCUAAGGAUGCGGAUAGCGAAAGUCAAGCCAUUAUGCAACGAUGCCUGCUUCUUAGCGAUUUAGAUUAUACUCAUUCGAUAAUAAAUAACAGUGGAGGUGAUCUAAGUGCACAUUAUCCAAGUCAUCUUAUUAUAUUAGAAUAUGAAAAGUCCAGAAAUCCCACUACAUGCGAUACACCACCACCACUGCCACGCACAACAGAGACUAUAUAUGAAAGCAUGUAUGAUCCUAUUAAACUAAAGGAAUUAAUAAAAAGUGCUAGAUUUGCUAGAUGUCGUUCAAGAUUUCCACUGCCUGUAAUACUUUACAAGGGUAGACAUGUAUGCAGAUCAGCAACAUUAUCUGGUGGACCAGAAAUUUAUGGUAGAUCGGGAUUAGACUAUUUGUUUGCAAGUAAUGAAGGUGUAGUUUCUGUUCAACAGCAAGUAGAUGAAGCAUGUGGGGGAGACUCAAGGCUUAGCGAUUGGCAACUAUUUGACAAAGUUAGACAUCAAGACAUAAAACUUUUGAAGACUCUUAAUGUAGGAACCAUCAUCGAUUUAAUGGUAGAAAAGAAGAAAGUCAAAUUUGGAAUGAACGUGACUUCUUCAGAGAAGGUAGACAAAGAGAAGAGGUAUGCUGAUUUCACCCUUAUUUCCUUGCCAUAUCCUGGGUGUGAGUUCUUCAAAGAAUUUCGGGAGAAUGAUUAUUGCGCCAAGGGUUUAGUGUUUGAUUGGUCUCAGACUUAUGUGGAUGCACAAAUUGGUAUACCUGAAGAUUCGAUUUCUUGUCAGUUUCGAAUAAAUUGGGAACAAUAUCAAGUUUGGGAUCUUAUAAAACUAACUCAAAAUUAUUUAAAACUUAUUUUGAGGUAUUUGAGCGAUAGUAGUAGUGGAAUGCUGAUUCACUGUAUUUCAGGCUGGGAUAGAACUCCUUUAUAUAUCUCACUAUUGAGAAUUAGUUUAUGGGCCGAUGGUGCUAUACAUACAUCAUUGGAUGCGUACCAAAUUCUUUAUUAUACAAUAGCGUAUGAUUGGAUGCUUUUUGGGCAUGAUUUGCAAGAUAGAUUAAGUAAAGGAGAAGAAAUCUUUUUUUUCUGUUUCUUUUUUCUGAAAUAUAUUCAUGACGAAGAUUUCAGUAUCAAUCGCCAUAAUCGUUCCAAGCAUCCCGUUUUACGUAAUGACAGUGAUUCACAGUUGGAUAAUGUAAUGUUUGAUAAUGAAUCUAUCGUAACUCUCAGUUCAGUCAGUUCCAACUUAAGUCUGAAUAGUUGGUGUAGUUCUGUCAGUCAAAAUAGCAGGGAUAGUCAGGAUAAUAAUCCACCAGCUGUGUUUCAAUGUGCCUCUGGAGACAACAGUCAGGAAGAUUAUCAUAGUAAUGGAAAUGUUGUACAAUUUGCAUUUUACCAUUCUCCAAAUAAAGAAGCACACGGAUCUCGAUCCCCUCUUCCCCCUAACAGAACAUCUCCAGUUGCUGUACCUGUACCAGGUCGUCUUCGACAACGAAAUGAAUCGUCUUCUUCUGGUGGUUCAUGGCAAAUGAUAUCUGGAACUGGAAGUUUACGUGGUUCGACAACAGCCAAUGCACCUAUUGCAGAUGCAUUAACUUCUUCUAACUUGGCUUGCAGAAAUUUAUGUGAAACUUUUGGACAUACAUCACAAGAAUCUAGUACAACUAUUAUAGAAGAUGAAGCAUGCUCGUCGUCACCAGUACAAACUCGCAAAGAUAGACUGCAGUGUUUAAGAACAAUAUUUUAUAGUGCUUAUAAACAUACUGGAUUCCGUAUGAAAGAUAAUUCUGAACCAGGAGGUUUAGGUCAAAUAAUCGGCAAUUUUGCAGAGAAAGUAGGAAUCCUUUGAUGUUCAACAUACAUCUUUGUGACUAAUAUGUCAUUAAUCAUCUUCCGCGAAUCAUCAGUUUUUCAUUAUUGACUUCUUUCUUUAACUCAGAAAAUUUUGCAAACUAUUAAAGAAAAAUCAAAUAAAAUAUUUGUAUAUUAUUGUUUAUGUGGACAAUGUAUUGUUAUAUGAAGUACGAUUCAUUAAAUAUACUAUUCUUUGGGGUGGAACAUUUUCUCUACAAAAGGGACAUUGUGGUUUAUUACGCAACCAAUUACUAAUGCAAGGCCAACAAAAUGUGUGACCACAGGGAGUUGCAGUUGUUGAUAUUGCUUCGGUACACAACUGACAGUUUUUAUGCACAUCUGUUUCUGUUAACUUUAUAAGUUCUUCGUUAUUCUUCUGCUGCGAUUCAUUUUGCCAUAUUCUUAAUACAGUUUGCAUUAAAGUUAUAAUCCCAAGCAACCUUAAACCCCAACUAACUUUAUCCAUCGAUGAACUACCAUAAACCUUAGAAAUGAAUAAGUUAUCGAAAUAUAUUAAACAGUUAUUCAUCCAUAUUUAAUAUUAUAGUAAUAUAAUAUAUUUUGCAAAAAAUUUA